UUUUUUCUGCUAUUUUACUACAGAACGCAGCAUCACUCUCGGAUAUCUUUAUACUAACUGGAGAAAUUUGAGUGAAACGGAAACGCGCAACGCAUUGCGCAUAGAAGGCCUAGUGAACCAUACGAUUGCGAAUGAGACGCUAAUAUACCGUAGCAAGAAUAACACCUGUGGCGUUUUCAAAGUUAAUUUCUUUGAUGGAGCUUGUUAUGAAACAUGGUAUGAAAUUCGAUUAAAAAAUUCAUCUCUUUUGGACGGACCUGAUUCCGAGUGUCUUGCCACAUAUACCGAGAAUCUAGGUGUGAACGAAUCGCGUUACUUACCAUCAACGUUCAACUACAGCGCUGAGUGCCAAUGUAUAUUUCAAAUAAACUAAAAAUGACGGCAAGGGAAUAUCAUGUGCGGCGGAGGAAAGAAAAGUGAAGUAGAAUACUGGCACUGGAUAUGUUAGCCGAGGAUUGGGCAAGAUAUUUAUCCAUGAUUAAUAACGCAAUUGACGCGAGAAAUUCUUAGAUCACUUGUCCAGUUGCCUCCAUUUUCCUGCCUCCUUGUGGUGUUUAGAUUUUCGCUACGUACAAGAAUAACUUGCACGUAUGUCUGUUUUAUAUUACACGACUACAUGCCUUCUGUCCAAUAAAGUAGUAAA